GGCGCCGUAGCUCAGCUGGGAGAGCGCUCCGGUGCGGCACCGGAGAAGUCAGGGGUUCGAAUCCCCUCGGCUCCACCA
rnacentral:tRNA from 1 species